CGAGAAUCUUCGGCAAAUGGGCGCAAGCCUGACCGAGCGAUGCCGCGUGCGGGAUGAAGGCCUUCGGGUUGUAAACCGCUGUCGAGGGGGAGCAACUUCCAUAGAGUUAUCUUUAUGGAUUGAGUGAUCCCUGGAGGAAGGACGGGCUAAGUUCGUGCCAGCAGCCGCGGUAAGACGAACCGUCCAAACGUUAUUCGGUAUCACUGGGCUUAAAGAGUUCGUAGGCGGCUUAAAACAGGUGAGGUGUGAAAGCCCUCGGCUCAACCGAGGAACUGCGCUUCAAACCGUUUAGCUAGAGGAAGACAGAGGUGAGCGGAACUGAUGGUGGAGCGGUGAAAUGCGUUGAUAUCAUCAGGAACACCGGUGGCGAAAGCGGCUCACUGGGUCUUUUCUGACGCUGAGGAACGAAGCUAGGGGAGCGAACGGGAGUUAGAUACCCGGUAGUCCUAGCCGUAAACGAUGAGCACUAGACUGUGGGA
rnacentral:rRNA from 1 species